AGUGAACGCUGGCGGUAGGCCUAACACAUGCAAGUCGAACGGCAGCACAGUAAGAGCUUGCUCUUACGGGUGGCGAGUGGCGGACGGGUGAGGAAUACAUCGGAAUCUACUUUUUCGUGGGGGAUAACGUAGGGAAACUUACGCUAAUACCGCAUACGACCUACGGGUGAAAGCAGGGGAUCUUCGGACCUUGCGCGAUUGAAUGAGCCGAUGUCGGAUUAGCUAGUUGGCGGGGUAAAGGCCCACCAAGGCGACGAUCCGUAGCUGGUCUGAGAGGAUGAUCAGCCAAACUGGAACCGAGAAACGGUUCAGACUCCUAAGGGAGGCAGCAGUGGGGAAUAUUGGACAAUGGGCGAAAGCCUGAUCCAGCCAUGCCGCGUGGGUGAAGAAGGCCUUCGGGUUGUAAAGCCCUUUUGGUUGGGAAGAAAAGCAGGAAGUUAAUACCCCGCUGUUUUGACGGUACCCAAAGAAUAAGCAACGGCUAACUUCGUG
rnacentral:rRNA from 1 species